rnacentral:rRNA from 1 species
AUUGAACGCUGGCGGCAUGCUUUACACACGCAAGUCGAACGGUAACAGGCCUUCGGGUGCUGACGAGUGGCGAACGGGUGAGUAAUGCAUCGGAACGUGCCCAGAGGUGGGGGAUAACGCAGCGAAAGCUGUGCUAAUACCGCAUGUGAUCUGAGGAUGAAAGCGGGGGACCAGGCAGCAAUGUUUGGCCUCGCGCCUUUGGAGCGGCCGAUGUCAGAUUAGGUAGUUGGUGGGGUAAAGGCCUACCAAGCCGACGAUCUGUAGCUGGUCUGAGAGGACGACCAGCCACACUGGGACUGAGACACGGCCCAGACUCCUACGGGAGGCAGCAGUGGGGAAUUUUGGACAAUGGGCGCAAGCCUGAUCCAGCAAUGCCGCGUGCGGGAAGAAGGCCUUCGGGUUGUAAACCGCUUUUGUACGGAACGAAAAGGCUCUGGCUAAUACCUGGGGCUGAUGACGGUACCGGAAGAAUAAGCACCGGCUAACUACGUG